UGGGGAAUAUUGGACAAUGGGGGGAACCCUGAUCCAGCCAUGCCGCGUGUGUGAAGAAGGCCUUUUGGUUGUAAAGCACUUUAAGCGAGGAGGAGGCUCCUAUAGAUAAUACCUAUAGUGAGUGGACGUUACUCGCAGAAUAAGCACCGGCUAACUCUGUGCCAGCAGCCGCGGUAAUACAGAGGGUGCGAGCGUUAAUCGGAUUUACUGGGCGUAAAGCGUACGUAGGCGGCUUUUUAAGUCGGAUGUGAAAUCCCUGAGCUUAACUUAGGAAUUGCAUUCGAUACUGGGAAGCUAGAGUAUGGGAGAGGAUGGUAGAAUUCCAGGUGUAGCGGUGAAAUGCGUAGAGAUCUGGAGGAAUACCGAUGGCGAAGGCAGCCAUCUGGCCUAAUACUGACGCUGAGGUACGAAAGCAUGGGGAGCAAACA
rnacentral:rRNA from 1 species